GCAGGGGGAAUCACUUGGCUAUUGAUAAAGCUAAUUCAAUAUCUGCUGAAUUGCUUGAAAAUAAGUGAGUAGAAUAAAAAACUUUGAAUCUUCAUUAAUUGAAUACACCAACAAUGGCAUGGGUCAUGCAGGAUAGGAUAGACUAUUGACUUUUACCAGCACAAGGCAAGAAAGCUGGUAAUGAAAGUCAGCAAAGAAUAAGCCCCAUUGACAGCAGUCAGCAAUUUCAUCUUGAGAAGUUAACAAUGGUUGGUCAAGAAAGGAUAAGCCAAAAAAAAAAAAAAAAAAAAAAAAAGAAAGGAUAAGCCAUAAUCAGGAUCCACAGACCUAACUCUUAAUACUGGAAAAAAUAGGUAGAACUUGCUAAGUUCCACCUACAUAAAAAACUGUAGGGAAUCUUGAAUGUUACACUAGCAACCCUUGGUGAUAACGUUUUAACCAAGCCAUUUAAAUAUCAGUCAGUACAGACAAAAUGUGUCCUCAUUCUACAAGCUCAUCCCAUUUCUCCUCCCCACUGUCUCCAAGAGAAUGUCCCCUCUCCUGGCCUCACCACUCCCUGGGGCCUCAAGUCUCUAGAGGGUUAGACACAUCUCCUUCCACUGAGGUCAGACCAGGCAGUCCUCUGCUGUAUAUGUGCUGGGGGCCUCGGACCAGCUCAUAUAUGCUGCCUGGUUGGUGGCUCAGUGUUUGAGAGAUCUCAGGGGUCCAGGUUAGUUGAGACUUCUGGUCUUCCUAUGGGAUCUCCCUCCUCCUCAGUUUCUUCCAUUCUUUCCCUAAUUCAACCUCAAGGAUCCCCGACUUCAGUCCAAGUAUCUGCUUCUGUCUCAGUCAGCUGCUUGAUGGGCCUCUCAGAAGACAGCCAUGCUAGGGUCCUGUCUGUAAGCACACCAUAGCAUUAGUAAUAGUGUCAGGCCUUGGGGCCUUCCCUUGAGAUGGAUCUUAAGUUGGGCCGGUCACUGAACUGCCUUUCCUUCAGUUUUGUUUUGUUUUUCUAUUUUUAGACCUGCAGUUCUUUUAGGCAGGAACAAUUCUGGGUCAGAGUUUUUGACUGUGGGAUCCACGUGAUGCCCUGUCUUUCUAUUGAAGGUGGACUCUUCAGUUCCCUCUCCCUACUAUUGGGCAUUCCAUCUAAGGUUCCUCCCUUUGAGUCCUGAGAGUCUCUCACCUCCAGGUCUCUGGUACUUUCUAGAGGGUCCCCUCACCUCCUACCCCAAAAGAGGUUGCAUAUUUCUAUUUAUUCUUCUAGCCCUCAGGGCUUCUCUCUGUCUCCUCCUCCCCAUACUUGAUCAUGUCCCAUUCCCCUCCCCCUCCCUUCUCCUACCCAAGUCUCUCCCUCCCUCUGUCUCCCAAGAUUGAUGUCUUUUUCCCUCCCAAGUGGGAUUGAAGCAUCUUCACUUACGACCUUCUGCUUCUUAAACUUCUUUGUGUUUUGUGGAUUUUCUGCUAAGAUCAAGUGUAAAACCUAUAAUUUAAAAACUAAUAAUGUGUUAACAGGCCAGUAAGAGCUCAAUAAAUUUUAGAUAUAUGUAAGUUCUUCUUCAUAUCAGAUACUUCUUAAUUUAGUUAAUAUAAUGUCACUGGUAUAGCAUUUACCUACCAUGUUCAAGGCUGUAGGUUCAACACCCAAUACU
rnacentral:lncRNA from 1 species